rnacentral:rRNA from 1 species
GAAUUUUAUAUAAUUUUAUUUAUGGUACAUUUAUUGAAAUAUUAUAAGUAAGUAUAAUUUAAUUGGGAGGAUUAUUAAAUUUAAAUAACUUUAAGUUGAAAUAAGCUAUAAAUUAAUAUUAAUAAAUAUUUUUGAAUGAUUAAUUAAUUAAUAAAGAAUUAAUUACCUUAGGGAUAACAGCGUAAUAUUUUUAUGGAGAUCUUAUUAGUAAAAGUGAUUGC